rnacentral:rRNA from 1 species
UACAGAGGUCUCAAGCGUUGUUCGGAUUCAUUGGGCGUAAAGGGUGCGUAGGUGGCGGGGUUAGUCAGGUGUGAAAUCUCGGGGCUCAACCCCGAAACUGCACUUGAUACUGCCUUGCUAGAGUACUGGAGAGGAGAUUGGAAUUUACGGUGUAGCAGUGAAAUGCGUAGAUAUCGUAAGGAAGACCAGUGGCGAAGGCGAAUCUCUGGACAGUUACUGACACUGAGGCACGAAGGCCAGGGGAGCAAACGGGAU